AUCCAGCUGACGAGCCCAAAAUUGGAAGAAACGCGCGUCCUGUAU
rnacentral:hammerhead_ribozyme from 1 species